GCCGCCCCAUUUAAUGUGUAUGUUGGGGCCUAGUCCCUCAUCCAGCGACUGUCAACACAACACCUCAGUCGUUACACCAAGAGAUAUGAAACCCUUGACAAGGUUGCUAGGUGUUGGGUUAAGGUCACUACAGUAUAAACUCAGUAUAGACCAGGUUAUGAGGUUGCUAGGUGUUGGGAUAAGGUCACUACAGUAUAAACUCAGUAUAGACCAGGUUAUGAGGUUGCUAGGUGUUGGGUUAAGGUCACUACAGUAUAAACUCAGUAUAGACCAGGUUAUGAGGUUGCUAGGUGUUGGGUUAAGGUCACUACAGUAUUAACUCAGUAUAAACCAGGUUAUGAGGUUGCUAGGUGUUGGGUUAAGGUCACUACAGUACAAACUCAGUAUAGACCAGGUUAUGAGGUUGCUAGGUGUUGGGUUAAGGUCACUACAGUACAAACUCAGUAUAGACCAGGUUAUGAGGUUGCUAGGUGUUGGGUUAAGGUCACUACAGUAUAAACUCAGUAUAAACCAGGUUAUGAGGUUGCUAGGUGUUGGGUUAAGGUCACUACAGUAUUAACUCAGUAUAAACCAGGUUAUGAGGUUGCUAGGUGUUGGGUUAAGGUCACUACAGUAUAAACUAGGUUAUGGGGACUGUCUGGUAAUUAGUCAAAUAUUAGGCUGUAAUGAUC
rnacentral:lncRNA from 1 species